GUUCCUCGCGCGCUCGCAUUAAAACUGAGGGCCACGGUUAACUUUGUAAAACCGUGUAUAAAUUCUGUGCUGUUAUUUAUUGAACUCCGAGAUUUACGUCAUAUUACCUAUCUGCUAUGUCACCAUUGAAGGUUCUCAUCUUUGCUAUUUUUACAGUUGCCGUUGCGUUGGCGCUCAACGUAAGUUCUGAUCGGUCACCUAGUCCUCCACGCCGACGUAAACGCCCUACAAAUUCUACAUGCCUUUUGCAUCGGAUAUGUUACGGAACGUGCACUCUUUAUUCAAAUGGAAGCCAUGACUGUCCUGAUCGGCACUGCCGAUGUGUUGUCACACCGAAAUUCUGUCAACCGAACACAGGACCCGGGAGGUGUGUUCCACCGCCAAUAUAAAAUAUGGGUAAAUGACACUAAACGGAAAUAAAACAUUGAAUAUUUUGCCAGCGUUUUAUAAUGUGAC